AGGAAGGCAGCAGUGGGGAAUAUUGGGCAAUGGGCGCAAGCCUGACCCAGCGACGCCGCGUGAGGGAAGAAGGUCUUCGGAUUGUAAACCUCUUUCAGCAGGGAAGAAGCAAGUGACGGUACCUGCAGAAGAAGUCACGGCUAACUACGUGCCAGCAGCCGCGGUAAUACGUAGGUGGCGAGCGUUAUCCGGAAUUACUGGGUGUAAAGGGUGUGUAGGCGGAGAAGCAAGUCAGGCGUGAAAUUUAUGGGCUCAACUCAUAAACUGCGCUUGAAACUGUUUCCCUUGAGAGUGGGAGAGGUAAACGGAAUUCCUGGUGUAGUAGUGAAAUGCGUAGAUAUCAGGAGGAACACCGGUGGCGAAGGCGGUUUACUGGACCACAACUGACGCUGAGACACGAAAGCGUGGGGAGCAAACAGGAUUAGAUACCCUGGUA
rnacentral:rRNA from 1 species